rnacentral:rRNA from 1 species
GACGAACGCUGGCGGCGUGCUUAACACAUGCAAGUCGAACGGAAAGGCCCCUUUGGGGGUACUCGAGUGGCGAACGGGUGAGUAACACGUGAGUAACCUGCCCUUGACUUCGGGAUAACUUCAGGAAACUGGGGCUAAUACCGGAUAGGAAUCCUUGCUGCAUGGUGGGGGUUGGAAAGCUUCGGCGGUUUUGGAUGGACUCGCGGCUUAUCAGCUUGUUGGUGGGGGAGUGGCUUACCAAGGCUUUGACGGGUAGCCGGCCUGAGCGGGCGACCGGCCACAUUGGGACUGAGAGACGGCCCAGACUCCUAUGGGAGGCAGCAGUGGGGAAUAUUGCACAAUGGGCGGAAGCCUGAGGCAGCAACGCCGCGUGCGGGAAGACGGCCUUCGGGUUGUAAACCGCUGUCAGCAGGGGCGAAGCUUGUGGUGACGGUACCUGCAGAAGAAGCACCGGCUAACUACGUG